rnacentral:lncRNA from 1 species
CAGUAGUGCUAAUUAAUUUUUUAUUGACUUAAGAUCUGAAUUUGAAUUUAACACAAUCAUUCUUCAUAAAUGACCGUUUACACGUGCCAACCGAUAUAAGAUUGUGGGAGGCAGUUUUUUCAAAAUAAAAUGUCUUAUGUGAUUUAAUGUAGUGUAAUGUAAUGUUUAUUUGGAACAGUCACUGUUGACUCAAAUUUGAUGGCAAAUUUUACUGUUGAAUCAAAUUUUACGUUAAUUAUAGUUUUUUGUAGUUUAAUGUAGUUUAAUGUAAUGUUUAUUUGGAACUGUCACAGUUGACUCAAAUUUGAUUGGCAAAUUAUANNNNNGUAAUGUUUAUUUGGAACUGUCACUGUUGACUCGAAUUUGAUGGCAAAUUUUACUGUUGAAUCAAAUUUUACGUUAAUUAUAGUUUUUUGUAGUUUAAUGUAGUUUAAUGUAAUGUUUAUUUGGAACUGUCACAGUUGACUC